CCAGAACAGUCACCUCUGGAUUUGCGGCGUUUGGGAGCCAAAACGUCUGAGUACCAAGGCGUUUGGGAUCCAAGGUAUGUCCAUAUAGAAAACCACCUUCAAACAUGGGAGGGAGGUAUCUUAUACAAAGUCAGACCAUUUGGGCCCACCUAGCUCAGUAUUGUCAACACUUAGUGACAGCAUCUCUCGUGUUUCAGCCACGAGUCCUUCUCAGUCCAACGUGGAUGUUGAACCUAAUUCCUUCUGAAUUCAAAGCAGAGGUCCUGCCAUUGAGCCACAACCCUUACUCUAAGCAGCAAUCUUUCAUGGGAGGCAACUCUCAAGCUCUGGGAGAUAGCUUUUCUGGAGCAACAAGGACUGCCAGUUCAAGUAUAACCCACUUGGGUAUGUUCCUUUGAUAAUUCUGAUAAUUCUGCACACAGCAGGGAGUUGAAGCAUGAAACAGACACCAUUAUGUGCAGUGAGUAUACAGCUAUAUCAUCCUCCCCAGUCCCCAGUGCAGUGAAGAGCUGGUGGUUACACAAGAUGGGACCCUGGUUACCUCUUUCCUGAAAACCUCUAGGAAGAGGGCCUGGAGAGUUCUAUUUCUUAGGGGAACUAUUAGCACUUGCAGCCAUUUUAAGAAGGCUGCCUAAGAGAUACAGUUUCCCCAAUUGGUGGCUAUCAAACCAAGUCUUCAAAGGAAAACUCUUGGUACUGAGAGAAAACCAAGUAAGGAGAUUCUGUGGUAACAGUCAAAAGAAAGAACGUUAGAAGCACAGUAUUCCAAUGUUCUAUUAUAGCAUUCAUGUGCAAUGCAUACUGUGCAUGUUUGCAUAUGAUUAUGACAGGUUAUUGUUUGAUGUGUUACACAACUUUUGCUCUGCAUGUCUUUUUUUUUUUGUGAGUCCCUCCAGAGACCCUGAAUAGGAACACUGAUUGAAUAAGAGCAUAGUAACAGUAUUUUGAAGGGAUGCAGGUGGCGCUGUGGGUUAAACCACAGAGCUUAGGACUUGCCGAUCAGAAGGUUGGCGGUUUGAAUCCCCGCGAUGGGGUGAGCUCCCGUUGUUUGGUCCCAGCUACUGCCAACCUAGCAGUUCGAAAGCACAAAGUGCAAUUAGAUAAAUAGGUACCGCUCUGGCGGGAAGGUAAAUGGCGUUUCCGUGUGCUGUUCUGGUUCGCCAGAAGCGGCUUAGUCAUGCUGGCCACAUGACCCGGAAGCUGUCUGCGGACAAACGCUGGCUCCCUCGGCCAAUGAAGCGAGAUGAGCGCCGCAACCCCAGAGUCGGUCACGACUGGACCUAAUGGUCAGGGGUCCCUUUACCUUUACCUUAAAAGUAUUUUGCAGAUGGGUGCAGAAGGAUGCAGUUUAAAAGCAACUCUGCAUAAGCAGAGUACCUCCAUGUGCAGAUUUAGAGCUCAGCUAUUGAUCCCUUCCUAUAAAACUGCAUUGGGGUUUUACGUUUGGAUUUGGAAGUUUUGGGGGGAAAUGUGGGAUUUUUCUCUUCCGUCUAGCAAGCAUGCCGCUAUGUCAUGGCCCAGUUCCUGGUGCAGAGUACGAUCUCCAGCAGUGAAUAUAGUAGAAAUAAGCAGACAAAUGUUCCUGCAAGCUGGAAGAAAUAUGGGGCUUUUGAAUGUAAAGACAUUAUUCACAAGGAAAGGCAGUUCAAGACACAGUGAAAAAAUCAAAACCAUAUGGACCGCAAAUAAAAAACAGCUUCUUUUUUUCCCUUCAAUGAAUAUAUACCACUCCUGAAAUAUUAGUACACUUUGGCUGUUGCUCUUCUUAUCUGUCACAAACGUGAUAGAAACAGGCAGAGAGAGGAGAUUUUUCUUUUACUAAGGAGGUUGCAAAUAUUGAGCGCAACACAUAGAACCAGGGUUAUGUGUUUUUUAAACACCAGAGCUUGCCAAGCAGUACAAAUUCUCCUAACUCUGCACUCAACUUGACACCUACCCUUCUGUUCCAUUGACAAAAAACCCCAAAAAAACACCAACCCAUAUGUCGUGUAAGCACAUGCUUCCAAUUAAGUCUGGUAUUGAAUGGAGGCAGUAGUCUUGAUUUGAAGCUUUGACUUACAAAGGAGGUGGCUGCCGUUUUCAAAACACCUGGGCCAGGAUGCAAAGAGCUGUUCUAGAUGUACGCUCUAAAGACCGGCAUCUCUGCUUUCUGAGGUCACAUCCAUACCAUACAAAUGAAGCAAAGUCUUUCCCCCAAAGAAUCUUGGGAACUGUAGUUUCCUAAAGGUGCUGGGAAUUGUAGCUUGUUGAAUUCUAAACUAGAGUUUCCAGGAAUUUUUUGUGUGUGGGAGGGGGUUUUCUGUGCUUUUAAAUGGGCUUUAAAGGUAUGCUGUAGAUGUGACCCGGGUCUCUAAUAUUUGCUAAUUGUGCUACAAUAGAAUCAUAGAGUUGGAAGGGACCCUGGGGGUCAUCUAGUCCAACCCCCUGCAAUGCAGAAAUAUACAGCUGCCCCACAUGGGGAUCAAACCUGCAACUUUGGCAUUAUCAGCACCACGCUCUAACCAACUGAGCUAUUUAGUGACAUAAAGGUCAAUCUCUGAAGGCUCCCUAAGUUAUCAACUGGGUUGCUUUGGGAAGAGAAGACUCUGCACCCUUCUUGGGCAUGAAGUUCCAAGCUGGCAAUUAUUCUUUGGAUCUCAGCUCUGAAGUGCAUUUUCUGGUUGGGAAAGUGUGUUUAUAAAUCUGAUCACAUUUUCUAUUCCCCACCCACUCACCCGCCUUAUUAAAAAAAGAAAGAAAAAAAGUUAUGUUUAUUCACAAUUCUGAGAAACAGAAGUACAAUGCUGGAAAUGUUUAAAAUAAGAUUGCAACGUCCACACAUUAAUUCUGAUUUUUUGGCACUAUGUAUAGCUUUGGCAUUCAGCCACUUUGAAAGCAACCACAUCAAUUUCUAGGUGAGGGAAGCAAGCAAGCAAGCAAGCAAGCAAGCAGGGGAGUCCAAUUCCAAACCUUUCACCUUUAUGCCUUGCUUAGAAUGAACCUGGAGCCUUCUUCACUUGUUCUGGCCAUUUUGCAAUGAGGGAGAGUGCAGGGUUGUGAAUCUUGCAAGGAGCCUUCAUAAGUUUGGCAGGCUCUUCGCUGCAGGCCGUUGCAUGGAGGGAAGCAAGGCCAAGAGAUGGGGAUGCAACAGAGACACAGACCCAUCUAGUGCUUCCUCACCUCUCCCCUCAUACAAUUCCAAUUGCGGGAGGCUCUGAGUGCCUGCAAAGAGCUUUUGAGUUCUUCCCAAUACUUUCAAGAUCAAGCAGUACCUGACAGAGCAUUCAUACUUUGAGAUCAUCUGGAAAGGUCGUCUCUCCACUCCAUCCCUGUUAAAGGUAAAGCAGGUGACAACCAGUGAGGUUGUCAGCAGCGCCAUGCUGUCUAUGGGAUGCCCUCCCUUGUGUGUGUGUGCCAUUCUCUUUAAAGUUUACAUUUGUUGCUCUGUUCACUUUUGGCUCUGAUCCUUCUCUGCCCACCACUGGCAUGUGUGCUGCCCCCUAGCCCAUUAGGGUCACCACCUGUCAUGUAUAAUGCAGGAUUGUCCUGAAUUUCAAUAUAAAAUGCUACAUCCUGUAUGGAUACAGUUUUGUCCUGUAUUUCAGGUCUUCUCUCCCCACCCCCACCAAGUUAAGGAUCCUCUCCAAAUGCAUGUGUUUGAAAGGGUGUGGGAAAGCUCGUGUAUUUAAGCUCUGAGUAGCCAUUCACACAGAGAUUUAUAAGUUCAUGUGUAUAUGCAUGCACAUGUACAUGUGUGACAAAUUCAAGAGGGCACAUCUUGUUAGGCUGCAAUAGAUGGUAGUGGGUUGCUUUGAAGUCAACCAGGCAGAGGGCCUUCUCGGUAAUGGUGCCCGCCCUGUGGAAUGCCUUCCCAUCAGAUGUCAAAGAAAUAAACAACUACAGUAUAUGGCAUUUAGAAGACAUCUGAAGGCAGCCCUGUUUAGGGAAGUUUUUAAUGACUAAUGUUUUAAUGUAUUUUUAAUCUUUUGUUGGAAACCACCCAGAGUGGCUGAGGAAACCCAGCCAGAUGGGUGGGGUAGAAAUAAAUUAUUAUUAUUAUCACCAUCAUCAUCAUCAUCAUCACUUCAGCGCUAGAUGAAGAUAAAAGUUGUCCACCAACCACCCCGCCCCACCCUGCCUUUUGCCUUUUUCCACCCUUGCUUUAAAGAGUAGCAAGAAAGAAGCAGAAAUCAACUGCAGCUAUCUGCCCACCAAACCUAGGUGCAAAAGCAAUGGUUGCUGUGUCAAGGAAAUAAUAUGCACACAGCACAAAUGUAAACCCUUCUGGAAGGAGCAGGUUUCCCUGUUCAUGUUGUAACAUAUUGAACUACUGGUCUGUGCAAAAGGAGAAACAUACCAUGCAAUAUGGGAAAGGACACGAGCAUCAAAAGUCAAUGUAUUACUGCAUGAGCCAAACACACAGCUGCUUCUGCUCUGGUGUUGCUUGUAAGCUGCUGUUUGAUUCCGGUAUGCCAUGGGCAGAAGAUCUGACGAAAAGAAUGCUUACUGCGGGGCACACCUUAAGCCUCCUGCCUCCCAAGUUUGUGCUACUGAUUGAAAAGAACCUAUAAUGCAAACCCAGGAGCUCUUUUGAAGGGAGUGUGUUGGAGGAAACCCUGAAUAAUGUAUAACUGGCAAUGCAUGUAGAUUCGCCGAGGCCCAGAUUGUGUCAAUUAUGCUCUGGCACAUGCAGAUCCACCCUGCUCCAUGUGAAGCUCUGGAGCUCAUCACUCCUAAGGCUGUAUAACCAUUGCUCCAUAUUUCUAGGGGGAUAAGAAAGGGCUCCUGUCCUCUGUAAUGAUGCAACCUGCUCUCUCGACACUCAGUUCGUUAUGGAUGUGAUUCCAACUACUGGAUCUCUGUUCCCUAGAAAGAGAGAAAAGAUCAGUGCAAAGCAAAAGGAAUAUACCUAAGCUUCAAGUAGUCUUAUUGUUGGUUUUGCAGGAGGGAGGGUAGUUGGUUGCUGUUGGCAAUCAUUCAAUAAUGGACACCUGGAUAUAGAUAUGUAAAUUUUCAAUCAAUAAAGAAUAAAAAAUGGACACCUAGAACUUGGUGUCCUGAACGAGAUUCACUUCUUUUUCUCUUUUCUUUUACACGUUAGCCAUCGUCUUAGCACACUCAGAGUUAUUCCUCAAAUGGCAACCUAACACAAGAGCGGCCCAAGGAAUUUUGCUGCCUGAGGCAAAAGACAGGAUGGUGCGUUCCCCAUUUGGUGCCAAAAAAGUGACCAGACUGGCCGUUGGAUCUUACUUCAGAACUGGGGAUGGAGCAGAAUUCUUUGUUGCACCGAGGACAGCAAUCCAGUUUAGGGGUUGCAGGACAGAGCAUGUGACACACCAAGAAACACUAUUUAAAAACAACAACAACAACAACAACCUCCACAAAGAAUUUGCCAUGAUUCCUUGUUGUUCUUUUUAUAUACAUAUAUACUCAGACUUUAUUUUUUGUUAACAACUUUGCUCUGUGUUUCUGUGUAGAAUUCAGGAAAGUAUUUCCAUCAUAAUGUUGGAGGGGGUCUGGCAUCUAGGCCACCCCCUGCUCAACUCGUGAAAUCCAGAGCUAGUGCUCCUAUAACUUGAUCCCUUUAAAUCUAGUGGUAUCAGGAAAUGAGUCUAUGUCCUUUUCUAUCUGACAGGCCUUCAGGUAUGUUUGACCUCCACUGUCACAGGCAGUACACCUUUGUAUUCUUGCUGCUGGGAGUUGCAGAUGGAGAGUGCUGUUGCAAUCAGGUUUCCCAUGGUCAUCUGGUUAGCCACUGUGAGAACAACAUGCUGGACUAGUUGGGCCACUAGCCUGAUCUUUUGCAAGCUAAACCUUUGAACCUUUCUCCAGGGGACUUCCUUUCUAUAACCCUGCAGUCUCCUCGUCUAUAACUGCUCUAAUUUAUCUGCCUCUUUAAAAAAAAAUGCGGUAUCCAGAACCGGAUGCCAAUUAGGUUCUAACUGGAGCCAGAAAACAGUGGAAAACUCUUCCUUCCCAUGACUUGGAUGCUAUGGUUCUAUUAAUGCAGCCUAAAAACACUUUAGCAAUUUUAUCAUUCACCUCACUCUGGUUCCAGUUUGAACAUUCCUGACCUAGUUGAGAAACAUCUGAGAGAAAAUAAAUACUGCAGAAUGUGAAAUAGAUUUUCUGUCUUGAGACGUUUUAGUCCGUAAUAUUAUGACAAGGGGGAAUGUGUUCCUCAUUGUUGCUCCCUAUCUUCCCCAAUGCCCCAUCAAUGCCUAUGGAUGAGCUAGCCACAAAUCUCUUUCAGCUGGGAAGGCAGCAGAUAUAGUACUCAAGAGCUGUACAUUUUCCUCAGACAGGCAUUACCCAAACCUAGCAGUGUUCCCUCUCCCUUCCCAGUUUAUUUACUUUGGGAGAAAUCCAGGGGGCAAAACCUAAUAUGUUAUCCAGGCAACAUUUAAGGAUGGAAACCGUCCCCCCGCCCCCAGUUUCUGCUUUCUGGGAUGCUCCCUUAGGACCAAGCUGUUGAAAUAUUAAACACUAUAGUUGGAAGGAGAAUAGCUCAGUGGUGAAGAAAUCCCCGAAAGCUCCAAGUCCAUAAAAAUGAUACCAGUAUAUAUGGUUUAGUCAGUGUACAUUACCCAAACCAGCAUUCUGCUUAUGUAGAUAUGCAUAAGUGUAAGCAGGGCAAUGUAGUGAUGAAACCCAUUUUGCAUUAACUUUUGCUGGUUGCUCUGCCAAUGGCCCCGUGACUAACAAAACAUAUUUCCUGCUUCCCUGAUUUAAGGAGGACUUAAAUCAACUGAAGGGAGAGUGAAGAUUACAAGAGCGGGAAAGCUUUCUCAGCCCAAGGUCCACAUUCCCAUCUGAGAAACCGUUUUUUGAGGGACACGUGGAAGUGGUGGGUAGGGUCAGAGGUAAAUGGGGUUCAUGGAAAUGUUACCUUUGUACAGUAGGCUAGUCUCUGCACACAAACACACCCCUUCUUUAUUCAGAUGACCAAGAGGCAACCCCACAAUUCAAUGACAUAUCCCAGGCAAGCAACAACAGCAAAGGUGGAGAGCAGAGCCAAUGAGGAGGUAGGCCUGAGGAGAGUUCAGAGAGCCAGGCAGAGAGGUCUGGAGGUUUUCCACCACCCGCAGUGUCCACAUUUUAGUGGGUUGAAGUGGGGACAUACCUUUGUUCUGUUGAGGUCUGCUGUAUGCAGGGCGCUUCUAGGAUGUAAGUAGCCUUCUGAAUCGAAGCCAAAAUAAAGAAAUCCUAUACUCACCGUGUUGAGUUUGGCAAGCAAGAUUAUUACUCAUACUUUGACAUGAUAUUAUUUAUUUGCUUGCCACAUUUAAGAAGUUGCAUGCAUGCACACACACACACAGUUCCAACUCUCAAAAAGUCUUCUACCAAGCACAUUUUUAACCCUUAAAACUGUGAAAUAAAACGCUACUAGAAGAUUCCUGAUUAUUUGAAUUGGUUUUGGGAGCUGGCACCCAUGUUGAGAAGUCGGUUUAGGGACAUGUGGGAAGCAGACACACAUCUAUCUGGACUGCUGAAAGCCAGUCCGAAGAGGCUGAAUCAUUUGUUGACUAGAUAAUUUGAGCGUCUCUCAGACAGUUCAAGUGCUCAAUAUCUUCAGUUAGGUAGUUGUUCAGGACAUGCUGAAAAAUUGAACCCUCCAUAUGGAUUCUCCAUCUGGUUCCCCAUCACCAUCACUUUCUUGUUGCCAGGAAGGUUAUUGGAUGAGCAGUUACACUGCAGCUUCAGGUACAUCUGAAAACUAUUUCCCCCCUUUCUUUUUUUGUGGAGUUUUGCCCGUCUGGCUUUUAUUGUUGACAUGGGCCUCAGACUGCACUCGUGGUCUUGGUCAACAAUCUCUGCCUGGAGAUCAAUAAGGCUAAUUGUACCUUAUUGAUUAUGUUAAUUCUGUUAAUUGUUCCUUAUCGAUUCUUCCCUAUGUGGCCUUUGAUACUGUUUAUCAUAAGGUGCUGGUGCUGCAAUGAAGAGACCAGGGAAUUAUUUGCAAGACUGCUCCUUUUGAGUGAACCUGCUUACUAUUUUGUACCAGAAUGUAGUGAUUGCUCAUUGUUGCCCUGAGCUUUUCCUGUGGUAUUGCAGAGGUACACAAGUACUCAUGGCCACUGGAUGAGGACUUUCGGAGAGAUGCAAGUCCUGCUCAGUCAUUCCUAAACUGUAUCUGCUGAGGGAGUAAGGCAGCAUAUGCACUGACCCCCAAACUGUCGCUUGAGUCAGAAGGUCUAAGGACAGGAUUUUAAGCAUGUUCAGCCGGAUGCAAUUACAGUCUUCCCCAUAAUCAGGAACCUUGAUCGAUCAAGGCUCCCACCCAUAGAGAUGAUCAUAAGAGUGUCCAGCUGAACAUGCUUACAAUUCUCCUUCAGACCAUCCUGCUCAAUAAGAGAAGGAAAGAGAGAGGGGGUGGCACAGGCAGCCCUAUGCUUCCACCAUGAAUAUAGUUUGCUAAUGUCUUGAUAGGCCUAGAGUUUGGCCCCAUAAAUAUUGUUGCACCCCACCCCAGUCUCUGAGCGGUUCAAGAUUCCAGGGGUUCCAGGCACUUACCCAAGGUUUGUGGAGACUGUGGUGUCUUUAUGAUAUAUGGCUUACUUACACAUAUAUACAACAUACAACGGAGAGGUUCACAGCAUCAACACCCCCCAAAAGUCUUUUUUUCUCACAUAGCUACAACCUUGGUUGCAAGCAAAGAUCCAGCAUGCCUCUCUCCUUUUGCUUUUCCAACCUGCUGCUAUUACAUCCUGCUUUUAACGCACAUAAAAAAACUCUCAGUUUUUGUGCUUCUCAUUAUAUGCAAGUUAAGGGAGAGUCACUAACAGUCUGUGCUGUGUCCCCUUAACCUUUGCCCCCCAUACCUCCCCUACCCGGAACUACAGUGGUACCUCGGGUUACAUACGCUUCAGGUUACAGACUCGGCUAACCCAGAAAUAGUACCUCACGUUAAGAACUUUGCUUCAGGAUGAGAACAGAAAUCGUGCUCCGGUGGCGCAGCGGCAGCAGGAGACCCCAUUAACUAAAGUGGUGCUUCAGGUUAAGAACAGUUUCAGGUUAAGAACGGACCUCCGGAACGAAUUAAGUACUUAACCCGAGGUACCACUGUACUGCAAUUGCUCUGCAUGCUCUCACCAGCUUCUCUCUUCCCAGGCACAUCCUAUGCCCCAUGAUUUAAAAACAAAACAAACCCCCCCAAUUUUUUUUAAAAAGCCAACAGGUUUAUUUUAAACAGUAGGGGCAGUAAAAAGAAUAACAGAGCCCCCAACAGAAACUCCUAGACAAUUUAUGAUUGCCACAACAACACAAUUCUAAGUGCGAUAAAUUAUUCAUCCCUGAAAAGGCACUGCCAUGUUGCAAUGUGGGAUAAAAAAGUUCAUUAUUCCGGGGGGAAAGCAUUAUUCAAAAUGUCUCUAAAGCUGUUCACAGCAGACACAUGGAUGAUAUCUUUUCCCUAGGAAGAAACUUUGACACCCUCUAUCUUAAAGCAUCUUUCUGAUUUUAAUUGACUUACCAAGUGCCAGCAGAAUCCAUGUGAUUAACACUAAUCUUUUGAAUUUUAAAAGUGUUAUAAGGUAAAUGGCCUUCCAAGCCUUCAAUCAUGCCCUCAUCCUUUUCAGCUCCCACCUACACAAUCUGCUUAUUAUUGUUGCUUUUGCUCCGUAUUUAAUUGCUAAAACUUUGCAGUAAAGCAAGGCAUUAACUCUGUGUGUGUCGGUGAAAUCUCAGGGAGAACUGUUGAGGGGAAAUAUAUGUUAAGGAUGAUGGCCAAAUCCUCUUGGAGUUAGAGGCACUUCAUCAGAAAUCAUAGCUUGGGACCAGGGCCAGCCCAAGACAUUUUGGCACCUGAGGCAAGCCACAGAAUGGCACACACACACCGGCCAGGGAAAAAGGGUUGAGUGAAGAUUUACAUUGAGAACAAGGGUGGGAGAAGACCACAUGCACCUUCUAUUCACAAAAAGGCCACCAUAGAGGCAGCAUUUGAGGGGCUGUUGAUCAGGUUGCAGAUCUGGCCUCUAAGAAGUGCACCGCAGCCAUUACUAUCACAUUCCUUGGAGGCUCAAUCUGCUGCCCCUGUGAAUCUUGCUGCCUGAGGCGGUCACUUCAACUUAUUUCUGCACCACACAGAUAAAUUACUUCCACUUUGUGUAAAUGCAGUUCUGAACCAAUGACUGCAGUUUCAAGUUUUGUUUCAUGGAAAGGCAUGUGUGAUGUUAAAAGCUAAAUCUAUGCCCAUACCCAAAGCCUAUUAUUAUCUCUUAUAAUCAAAGUUGGAGCCACAGUUUGUUAAGAGCGGUUACAAUUGAAUAUAGGAGGCUAAACUUCUGGCUGGUAAACUGGGAUCUUUUCAUGGGAGAAACAGCUGCUAAUUAGGACUACGGGGAAUAUGCUUUUCAACUUGUUUUAAUCCAGCGAUUAGCUGGCCAACAUGGGAGGCUGAUGUUUCUUGCACAAUAACAUGAUAAUAAAUCAAAAAUCUUUUGCUGAUCAUUGCUCUCUAGGUUCACUGUUUUCAGGAAAUGCAUUUCUGUGAUUUUCAUACGUAAUCCAAAAGGGAGCAUGUGCGAUUUUGUGGCAAUGUGAGACAAAUAAGACUGCAGGAAAUACUAAUACAUUUCUUAUCUUCAUUCAGGGCCAUGCUAGAUUUGAUGCUUCCAACUACUUUGAAGUGAAUCAUGAUAAUGGUAAUAACAGCAGGUAUGUGAGAGUGAUUUAGGAAAUUAGGAAGCUGCCUUAAAUGGAGUCAGUGUUAGAAUUCCUGCUCCAUGAUUGCAGUCAUGGGAUUGUUGACUAUCACAUGACUGUAAAUAUUUUGACUCCACAGAGUGGGAAGUGACGAAGACAGGAUGUUUGUGUUACUGUGUUCUGUGAAGUGGGACUAUUGUCCUUUGUUCUUUUUCUCUUUGCUGUCUGAUGCUAGAGAGAGAGGGAGCCAUGUUGCAGUGCUCCGUGUGUGUUUAUAUGUAAAUAAAGUAGAUUAGCCAAAAUGCUGAGUUGCUUGGUCUGUUACGCAAACUGCGCAAACUCUGUGGAUCCCUAAGUGUGCAGGUGUUGGUUGGCAUCGGUCGCUGUGAUGUUUGGGCUGAAGAAAGCUUUUGAAGCUUCCAAACGAUCAACCAGGAGGGAGGGAACAUGCCAGUCAGGCAUGUGUCUCUGCCAGGGUCCUACUUGAGUGUAGGCUGAACUCCAUUUAAGUCAGGACACUUAAAUGGAGUCCCAUUUGCUCAGUGCUUUCUCACCCUGGCUGGCAGCAGCUGUCCUGGAUUUCAGACAGAGAAUCUCACCCAGCCCUACCUGAAGAGGCCAGCGAUUGGACCUGAGACUUCUGCAUGCAAAUAAAUGCAGAGCCACAGCCCUUCUCAGACCACAGCAUGCAGAGAGGGGAGGUUUAAUUAUUUCAUUCCCUCAGCAUGGUCCCAGGGGACAUCAUCCCAUGAACCUGUUCUUAAUUUUUAAUUGACAAGAUCCAUUGAAGUUAUGUGGGAUUUUAAAAAUUGAGAGCGGUAGUGUGAACAGAGAGAGAAUGUGGCUGCUAAUAAGAUGUUUGGUAUUGUGUCUACUUUGGCCCUCAGAUGAAGAUUUCUGAAUGGACUUAGUAGAGAGCCAAUGUGGCCUCAUGAUCAAAAUAUUGGGUUAGGACAGGUAGAUGCAGGUUGAAAUUCUCUGUCUGCCACACAGACUGUCCUGGGCAAUGUUAAGCCAGCCACAACCUCUUUCUUAAUCUGCCUCACAAGGUUGCUAUGAUGAUAAAAUAGGAAACCAUGCAUGCUAUCCCAAGCUCCUAAGAAGAAGGGCAGGAUAACAAUGGGAUGGAUGGUGAUGAUAACGUUGGUGACCCUAUAUUGCUACCUGAAGUCUCUGUCUACAUACCUGUUUGUCUGUCUUUCAUAGAGACCACAUUAACGGGCCACCUUGCUGACUAUAAUAACUUGUCACAAUGUGUAUACAAUCAAGAGAGGAUCCAACCUUCUACUGAGCCCUUCCAUAUGGCAGGGAGAAUUUUUGCAACAUGUUUCCCAUGAUACAUUAACAAGUUUUCAGAGACAAGAGAGAAAGGUAGAAAAAGUCUGCCAAGAUCAUUUUAACUUCACUUCUGUAUAAUCUUUAGAGUUUUAAUAAAAUAUUUUAGGUUAACAAAAUUAUUUUUGAACUGUUGUAAUCUUUCCCCUUUUUCUUUUUCAUAUUUCAACCUCUUUUUGCAAUGCAUAGGAUUAAGACUAAGAAGGACUAAGUAGGUGAAUUUAACACACCCGUUCCCUGCUGAAUGUUGUCACCUUGUAUGUUUAAGCACAUAUAGGGACCUUGAAGUUUCAUUAAUGAUUUGGGGCACAAAGCAAGGUUUUCUAACAAGGUCGUUUAGUGGAAACGAUUGCUUCCAAAGCCACUUUUCAUUGAGGCAUUUUUAAAAGAGAGAAAGAGUGUUAUAGGAUUCUUCCUAUGUAUGUCAGAUAAAGCUCAGGAGACCACAUUGCUUGACUUGUGCCCCAUCUUUCUGCUUACUUUGAAGUUGAGAUUAUAGUUCCCUUCUGGCAUUGGUUCUUUCAGAUUUCCUACCACAACUGUUUUAGUAAAUGCAUAUAAAUAAUCUUAGUUGGUGUUGUACUUUGUUCUAUACCCCAUCUUGGUCAAAUAUAAAUUUGUUUGCCCACAGAAAGAUAAGGAUUUAAAAAAUCUAACAAUGUCGGUGUCUCAUAUUUCAACAGUGGGGCAAUUAACAGCUGCAUAAGUCUUAAUAUUUGUUUAGAAGUUUGGGGUUAUUUUCAGAUGCAGGUUGUCUCAAAACCUCAUCCUCCAAAUGCAUACACCUGGACCACAUUGGAUUUGAUUAUAAAGGCAGCCACACAGAGAGAGGAAGAGAGAAAAGAAGGAACAUAUUGUUCAUGGCUGCCAGUAUUUACUGUAGGAAUAUUUUUUUUAAAGGAUAGUCAUAGGAAUGUGCAGAAGACCAUGAGGAUGUCAUGUGAAAUGUGCAUUCAAUAAAGUAGCUUGAUGAUCUUGUAUUUUUCAAAUCUGCGAAUGUUUUGAAAUGGCAGUCAUGGAAGGAAUAUAAUGCAUGCAGGGAAUAAAAUAAAAUCAUAAAAAUGGCACCAAAUCAUUCUCAUAGUCAUUAAAAGUCCAAAGAGGGGAUUUUUCUUAGUGUGUUUUUGCAAUGAACCUGAGAUUUAUGGAAUGAAAAAAGUGACCGGGUCCAUAAUUGGACAGAAAUUAAACAGCAAUGAAUUUAUUUGUUUAGGACCCUGAUGCUGCGUGCCGAACAGUAGGGGAAAAACUUUCUCCAACCCUUUGUUAAUUUGAAAACUUAACUAUCAAGACUCAUUGAUGCAACCCUGUGGGCGGUUAACCUCAUUCUGAUACUAAUUCUAGAAGGACAGUUCCCAUAGCAACCCGAGGCCACUUCUCAUGUGGCAAUAAUUUUCUGCAAUUUCCCCCCAGAACAUUUCUGAGGCAGUUGCACAGCGGCGAUUAACCAUGACAUAAUAUGAAUGUACCAGGCACUAAGCCAGCACAUUGCAGUAGGCCACUUCAAUAGGACACAGGCAACAAGUCCCACUGCUGAAUAGAAAAGACCUUCAGAGAUUGAGUCUGCAUCUGUAUACAUGUCUACUCAGAAGCAAGUCUCACCGUGCUCAGUGAAGCUUAUUAUCCCCUUAGUAAGAGUGCUUUGUUUUGCUGCCCCGGAGUCCAUCCAUUAGCAUGAAAGUUCUACUUUCUGCUUUUUAGGGCGUACGGUGAUAUGCUUAUGCAUGUUUUUUAAAAGUAUGCAUGCUUUUGAUGAACAGAAUCAAAGCCUACAUUAAACUUAUACAAAGCUGCCUGAGUCAGGUAAGUGGUCCAUUAGUCAAGUAUUGCCCACUUCAGCUAGCAGAUGUUCUCCAAGGCUUCAGGCAAAGGCCUCUGUCAGCUCUGUUGGUGAAGGCCAUUUUAACUGGAGAUGACGGGGCUGGAAUUUGUGUUUUUCUGCAAAAGCUCUAUCAUAAAGGGGUGAUCCCACCCCUGCCUUGAUUACUUGAUGUGAAGGACCCUUCACUAUAAGGAUAGGUUUCACUUUAGGGGGAAAGGAUGGGUAGGGGGGUACCUGGAUGGUAGACACGUACAAAAAAUAUGUGAUGUGGAAAAAUUGGAUAAGUAGAUGUUUUUCAGCCUCUCUCAUAAUAUUUGUUUGGGGUGGAAUAGAUUUUAUUAGGGUUUAUAGAGAAAAAUACACAACUUAAUAUCCAAUAUCUUUUCCUCUUUUUUGUCCAAAUGAAAACUUUGAUCUAAAUACAUCGAAAACAUAAAGAGAAGGGAAGAGAAAGGAAUAAAGAAAGAGAAAGAGAAAAAUAAGUAGAAAAGAGGUUUAAAGGGGGGGGGAGAAUAAAAAUCAGAAGGUAAGGGACUUGAUUCUUCAUCUGUCCACGAUAUGUAAACAAUAUUUACUUCAUCCACUCCAGUAUAAUAUCCAACAAAGCCACUUUCUAUAAACAAACAUUAUGUUCAGUCUUCAAAUCCAGAUAUCAUUGUUUCAUUUUCUUUUUCACGUAGAAAGUCGACAUGAGAGGUUUUCAAUCUUUAAUAAAUGGUAACAAGCACUUUUCUCUGAUUAAACAUGCCAAUUCCACCAUCUUGGCUAAGUGUUGGUUUUAACAGCCAUUCUUCAUGGUUGGUAAUAAUGGGUCCUUCCAUCGUUGUGUAUAUAAAAGUCUCACAGCCAUAAUCAUAUAUGGUAAUGGCCUCUCUCAUAAUAUUUGAACUUGGAGGUCAUCUAAUGAAGCUCCAUGGUAGUAGCAUCAGGGCAGACCAGAAAAAGUACAUCUUCACUCAAGGCAUAGUUCAACUGUGGAAUUUGCUGCUGCAGGACAGCCACUCGACAGGAUUACUGUUUACUCCCCCCAGAAUCGGAGACAGCAUGCUCUGAAUACCAGUUACUGUGGAACAGCAGUAGGAGAGUGCUUGUGGGCUUCUCAGUGACAUCUGGCUGGUCACUGUGGAGCAUGCUGCUGUCCCACAUAGGCCUUGCACCAGCAGGGCUCUUCUUAUGUUCUUGAUCUCAAAAUAAACACGCAUGCUAUUAGAGAGUUUUGUCUGUACCAUGAAAACAAUCCCCAUCUCACCCACUCUGAUGAAGGAAAUGAACCAUCUGCCACCCUACUUACUUCCAAGUAAAUAUUUUUAGAAUGAGGCUGUUAGAUAUGAUAGUUCUGGUAUUGAACAUUAAGAUGACAUUCUUUGCUGCUUCACAUAGGUUUAGGUUUUUCUGUUGUGGGCAUUUUAUUUUAAAUUUGGUCUGUAAUCCAUUACCAAACCAAGCUCCUUUUCAAGCCAUGUCUUGCACAGUACUGGCACCCUAAGUCAUUGGAAUACAUAGUGGACAAUUUUGUUCUUGUUUUUUUUUACAAUAAUUUUUUAUUAAUUUUCAUUAAACAUACACUCAUUAUACAUCCAUACAUAGUGGACAAUUUUGAAUAUUGGUAAAUGGUUUCGGAAUCAAAGUGACAAUGGGAUUUUUAGGCUGCAAUUCUAUGCCUGACUACCCAGAAGUAAGUUCCAUUGCUCAAUUGCAAGGUCUUUACAAUUUUACAACUUUACAACUCUUAAAACUUUACAAAUUGUUGGAACAACAAAUGAAGGUUCAUAAGAAAACUGCAUAGCAAGGCUGUAUAUUUACUUGGGGGGAGGAAGUCAAUGAUGGUUUAAUUGAAGCAGAAUGUUUUAUUUUGUGUCUUACGUCCCCACUAUCAAGCAAAUGUCGGCUUGUGGUUAUUAGCUCCUGAACCUUACACAGGAAACAUGAUAAAUGCCAUAAUGCCUGCCCUCUCCAUGAACACUCGAGCAUUGCCCUUUACUUUGAACUUCUCCUUCCCGCUUGCUGUUCAUUAAAAACACAGUAUUGAUAAUUACAUAAAUUUAUUAUCCUAUUAUUAUUCAGAGGUUUUUAAAAAACAGAAACAAAAUAAUCAUUAAAGCAAAUAUAUUUCACCCUUAGAUUUAGCUUUUUCCAUUUCUUUUUCUUUACUCCAUGCAUAUAAUUUGGAAAGUUAAUGCCCAUGCCUCCAGUUUGGGCAUCUAACUUCAAGCUUCAAAUGAGGGGGUGGUGGGGAUGCAGCGUUUCAGCUAAUUUUUCAUUUAAAGUUCAAGUGAUGCUUGGUUUUUUUAUAUUAAAAAACAACUUUUGUUUCAUCAAAAUAACUGAAGUGCAUCCAGUCACUUCAAGAGGCACAAUAUUAAUAUCUACAAGAAGUCUAAGGUCAUCACCUGUCCUGAACCACAUCUGGCUGCACGUCCCACUGGUGUACACGAUUCCACGCAAAUGCUAGCUCAUAGGCUAACAGGUCCAAAGUCCAGUCAGACCAGGUAUCUGCUUCUUCUGCUGAUCCAGGGGUCUGCAGGUCACUCUCACACAAACACAAUCCCAAAGAGCUCCCUGGAAGGAGCCUCCAAGCCAGGGGUUAUUGGACCAUUGUUGCCAACUUACAUAGCUUGCUGUUUGUAUAAGUAAUGGCUAACAUAUUAGCCCCUAAUGGGAAAAACCAUGGUGUUUGUCACUUCAGCAUCCAUCCUGAGGUGUGGCAGCAAGGAAUCCCACAUGACAUUGCUGUAUGGAAGUAUCUUGAUAGAUCUCUGUAAUCAAGCACCAGAACUGAUCGUUCCGGCAUUUUGUGCAUCUUUCUUUGGAAUCCCUGCAAUGGGAUUCUUCGGGGCAUCAGUUAAUCCUUUCCCCCUGGUGUGUAUUUGCCUCCCAGGACAAAACACCUGUGCAGGAUCCUGACAGGGGUGCAAAUUGCCCCUCCUCAUCCCCUUGAACAUUGCAUUAGUGGGCAGGGAGUGGCAACUCCCUUCUCAGAUGAUCAGUAGGGAUAAGUUGAGGAGGGGGGCCGUGUGCAUUUGUGUGUUGUGUUUGAACUGACCAAACCCACUCCUGCCCAUCUAUCCACUAACCCAUCUAGCCACUAGAUCACAAUGACUCUCAAUGCUUACACAGGACAAAUACUACAACACAGUUAAUUUUUAUCCUGAAUUCAUCUUUCCAUGUUUCUUGUCCUGCUGUGUAAUGCCACUUUGUUCUCUUAAAUAUUCUUCCCUCGUUGUUAGAUAGUGGCCCUCUCUUGUCAUCUACAGGAUAUUGCUACAGCUAAAGCCCUUGUGGGGAUCUGUCCACAGUGCAUUUCCAUUUCCAUCAAUAACAUGAUUGUUCUACAGUGGUACCUCGGAUUAAGAACUUAAUUCAUUCUGGAGGUCCGUUCUUAACCUGAAACUGUUCUUAACCUGAGGUACCACUUUAGCUAAUGGGGUCUCUCGCCACCACAUGAUUUCUGUUCUCAUCUUGAAGCAAAGCUCUCAACCUGAGGUACUAUUUUUGGGUUAGUGGAGUCUGUAACCUGAAGCGUCUGUGACCUGACGCGUCUGUAACCUGAGGUACCACUGUACUACACAUUGAUUAGCAAAAGUCACAGUGAAAAUGGUGGAAAGCACAGAGAGCUGCUUGCCAUUUUAUUGUUCAAUGAUUUCCAAUUUUUGCUCUAAUUUUCUAGUUCCAGAGCUCAUCAGUCGUCAUCUAAUCCCAAUUUGAUUUGGGGCAACCUUUUCCAUCAUAUAUGUAAACAAAGUUACAGGGCCUGGACACUGACUAAACAGAAAGCACAGCUAAUCAUUAGAACUCUGUGACUCACUUGCUUUUUUGUUAAUACCUUGGUUUAGUUGUGUAAUAAAGUGGCACUAUGUUUCAAAUGUCACUUAAAGCCAUUCUGUUCAGUAACCAAUCUCAUUCAUAUUUUGGUUUGUUUGCCUACACAGCCAAUGAAAUUAAACAAGAUUAUCAAUUGUUUUGUAGAAUCACAAAGUUGGUUCAUACAAAACUGUCCCAGCUUUACCAGGCUAAUGCCUCCAAAUUUAAAUGAAAUGCUUCUCCAGGAACCAGAGCCUUGUGUGUGUUUGAUGCUUAUUUCAACCUCUCACUUCCGCAGGAUUCCCGAUUCAUUUAUUUGCACACACAAGCACUGAAAAAAACAGACAAGCCUUUGCAAUGAGAAAGAAGAAGGGCCUGUGGAUCCAUGGGGUUCAACCAUUUAAAUUUAUGUUUUAUACAAUAAUCUUAGGACUUGCCAAUCAGAAGGUUGGCGGUUCGAAUCCCCGCGACAGGGUGAGCUCCCGUUGCUCAGUCCCUGCUCCUGCCAACCUAGCAGUUCCAAAGCACGUCAAAAGUGCAAGUAGAUAAAUAGGUACUACUCCAGCGGGAAGGUAAACGGCUUUUCCAUGCGCUGCUCUGGUUCGCCAUAAGCAGCUUAGUCAUGCUGACCACAUGACCUGGAAGCUGUACCCUGGCUCCCUCAGCCAGUAAAGCGAGAUGAGCGCCGCAACCCCAGAGUUGGUCACGACUGGACCUAAUGGUCAGGGGUCCCUUUACCUUUACCAUAAUCUUGAUACUCAUUAUCUUGCACAGAGAUAUUCAGUAGUGCCAUGUAGAUUUGAAUCAAAAGGGUUAGGGCAAUUUCACAAACAUUCACAUGCCAUGAAAAGUACUCCCUUACAGCAGUACUGAUUAUGGAUUGAUAAAAGCAGCAAUUCUCUUGAGUAGUUUAACAAUUAAUCCAUCUUCCUAGAGGACUCUGGGAAUUGUAGUUAUGUGAAGGGAACAGAGGUCUCCUAACAAGUCUCAACCCCUUUAAGAUACUGCGGUUCCCAGGAUUUGGGGGGGGGGGACCAUGAUAAAACAGUAUGAGGCAGCUUUGAGUGUAGUGCAGAUUGGGGCCUGAUAUUCAGUGUAUUUUGGGUAUUGUCACUUCUAUUCAGAAAUCAACUACAGUUCUACAAAAAAUAAUAAUACUAAUCAUCUGAAAAGGAGAGUAAUAAAACUCAAAACCAAUUGUGCUUCAGUUGUCUCUAGAGUAUUUCUUCAAUAAACUGUUUCAUAACAUAUACUGAGAUUUCACUUUCUGGUUGCCUCCAUUUUGAUGCCCCUCUUUUACUUCCUCUUGCUUUUUUUUGGACCGCCAGUAGUGUAAGCACACGAUACUUGCCAAAUGACUGAGCAUAUGCUUGCCAAAAGUGAUUUCAAUAAUUUGGUCCCUUGAUCCAAAUUUCUGGCAUCAGCAUGUCAGGAUGCAUGAAACUGUCAUCGUAUCUCUGCAACGUUUUUGUAACAUGUUUCUGAGGCAAUUAGAAGACCUAUUUUAAUCAACCAUUUGCUUACUGAGUCACUAAGCCUUAGGUCUGGGCCACUUAUACCUAUGAGCCUCACUGACAUAUUUAGACAGUAAAGCUCUCCUGGCUUGCUUCCAAAUAUUCCCAUCUGAACCCCACUAAAGUCAAAUGAACUCUUCCAAGGCUAAUCCCAAAAUGGCAGGUCAUGGCCUAACAUUGUAACUUUCGCACCACUUGCUCUAGAGUAGCAGCUGUGAUUAUCAUUGGGAUAAGUAUGGAGAAUUGUGGUCUUAUUGGCUUCACGGUUACAUUUUCCCCUAACCUUCCCUGUAUAGAAAUGCUUCUCCCCCCGCCCCCCGCCACUUGUUAUGGCAGAAGAAGGAAACUGCCUAUUACAGAAGGAUUGUUGAAACCGAGUAGAUAUAAAAUGCUGUCAGAGACACAUAGUAAAGACCCUGAAAAUAGAGAAAAGUCUUGUUUUGUUUUCUCAACUUGCUCUAUUGAAGUCAUCUGAGGUGCUACUAGGAACAACAGCAGCUAAAGGAUUCUCAUAUCAAAUAGUGAGUUUUAAAUGGAUUCUAUCCUUUUAUAUAAACGAAGUCCCGUCCCCCCCCCCGCCCUUAGAGCUGAAAGUUAGUUGAAGCAAACAGAAAACUUUACACCGGGAGAGGAAAUUGUUUACUGAAAAUGGAUAGAUGCAUUAAAGUAUAUUUUCUCGCUGGCUAUAUUUUAUUGUAUAAUUCAUUUAAUAGUUGUCGUUUCUUGUCCUACUUUUCAGGAGAAUCUCUUCACAAAGCGGCAAAUGUCAGGGAUGAUAACGAUACAAAACACAAUGUCAAAUGUUAAAAUUUGAUGCUGAAAGCUCUCCCACCCAC